GCGUGAGUGAUGAAGGCCUUAGGGUUGUAAAGCUCUUUCAGUGGGGACGAUAAUGACGGUACCCACAGAAGAAGCCCCGGCUAACUUCGUGCCAGCAGCCGCGGUAAUACGAAGGGGGCUAGCGUUGUUCGGAUUUACUGGGCGUAAAGCGCACGUAGGCGGAUCUUUAAGUCGGGGGUGAAAUCCCGGGGCUCAACCCCGGAACUGCCUUCGAUACUGGGGAUCUUGAGUCCGGAAGAGGUGAGUGGAACUCCUAGUGUAGAGGUGGAAUUCGU
rnacentral:rRNA from 1 species